rnacentral:tRNA from 1 species
UUCAGGGCCAUGGCUCAGUGGUAGAGCACGGGCUUGGAAAGCGGAAGGUCCCAAGUUCAAUCCCUGGGACCCCAGUUGAAA